GCACCGAGCGCUGUGUUCCUGCAGGGGGAGGCCAGGUGCAACCCACACCGUUAUGGGGACAGAAGCCUGGUGCGGGGGUUAACUGUGUGUGUCCACCUGGCCCGGCCACGGAGAGCCAGACGUUUGGACAAACAUUAAUCUGGGCGUGUCUUUGAGCAUGUUUCUGGAUGGGAUUAACAUUGGGAUGUGUAGACUGAAUAGAACCUUGAUGUGGGUGGGCCUUACCCAAUCAGUGGACGGCCUGACUCGCAAAAAAAGGCUGAAUGCAGGGACCUCUUCCUGACGCCCGUGUGAGCCGACACACGAGUCUCUUCCUGCACUCAGGCCCAUGCAGACAGGCUGGUCUCCGCUUCUAGACCAGCACUCACAGCCUCGGCUCCCCUGGGCCUCCAGGUUGCUGGCUGCAUCUCUCAGGAGGGCCAGCCUCUGCUGCCCCAUGAGCCCGUCCUUUGCAACAAACGUCUGCUCCGGCUUUUGCUUCUCUGGAGAACGGGGAUGGAAGUGCCGUGCCCUUGGGAUUGCUCCAGCAGCCUGCCGUCAUCGCGGGAGCCGGUGCCAAGGGGCCGCCUCCAAGGAGACCAGCCCAUACUCCCCCUCCCGGGCCCAGUCCCCGUGUCCUCCCAGGGACAAGCCACUCCACACCACCCGGCCUCCCUCCAGUGACGUCCCUGCACGCCUGCGCGUGAGCCGACGGCCUCCCCCCAGGCCUUGUCAGCCUCACUGUGGCCUCGCUCGGGAGACUGGAAGAGCCAAGCUCGCACACGCCCCGUCCUUCCGGGCAGCUGCAAGCUCACGCCACUCACCCGCCUCCUCGCGGGCCGUCCGCGGCUUGCCCUGGCUUCCGUGCUGGGGCUCGGCCCCCCUACCCCGUCCUCGACCCCCCAGCCCUCCCUUUCCACGGCGCUCUGUGGCCUCACGGGGGCAGACCCGCUCUUUGUCACCUUUCCACUAUCUUUGGGAACAUGUGUCCUUCAGGGUCAUCUUGAAAGGGAGCAAGCUUAGCUCACUUCCCCGGUUGCCAUUGGUUGGAAGUCGGUCAUGUGACUGCUCAUCGGCACAACGUACCCAGGCCAGCCUUCUGGAGCAAGAGAGGCGUGGAGCAGGCCCAAGUCCCCCGCGAGGCCGCCGAGAUCUGCUAACAGCGACAGGCUCCCUGCGUGGGAAGGAGCCCGUCCAAGACCGGCCACACUAGGUCCAAUCCCAUGAGCUUGCUGUCGUGUGCUGUCAAGGUCCCGUGGAAUUUAAUUAAUUUAAAUGUUUUUUCAAUGUCACUCUCUCCUGCAGGGCCCCUGUUCUGUAGUAGUCAGGACAGACCAGGUUGUGCCGUGGUAACAAAAACCUGAGACCUACGAUGGCCUGACCUGGGCCUUGCAGCCAGGCUGCUUGCAAGGACACCCAGCAGCGGAGGCUGGAACCGUGGGGAAGGUGCGACGCCGGUGGGACUGCGUGAGGACCAUUCAUGGUGACUCGGCAGGACAAGAAGGAGACGGGCUCGCAGGAAGCCCCGCUGGGGCGCAGGACGGCGGCAAACGUGGAGAUAGACCCAGAAAUGCGGAGCUUCGCAAGGUCAGACAGCCAGUCGCUUCCAGAGCCAGGAUUUUAAACGCUUUGUGGAGACAAAGGCCUGGAGCCACGCCCGAGCAGGGGCCCGGGAGGCAACGAUCAGAAGAUGGGCAGGGCCUGUCCCCGAGAGCCCCUGCGAUGGCCGGCAGGCAGACACAAGGAUAAAUAAGCCUGAUCAUUUCCGAUGCUUCUGUGAAGCCACUCGUGGCACCGUCUGGUGUGGGUGGGGCGGUCCUCCUCUGUCCUGAGCUAUGUCAGUGGGGACAAGAGGCCUCCAGGGUCCCCGUACAAGGGAGCGCCGGGGGACGGGGCGAUGGCUUUGGAGAGGCCACUCCUGCCCACGUGCCCCUGGCCAGGAAGAGAGGGCAGGACCAGGCCCAUCGCCUUGUCCCCUCUCCCUUGUGUCACACCCUCAUGACCACCCCAGCCUGCUGGCGUCCAACCUGCUUCAUCGCCGCUCCCAAACCACGUGGCUUCGAUGACGCGCCACAGGCUGCCUCUGUGGCUCCGGUGCAGUGGGAGGCUCGCCGUCGGUGGUCUUCCCUCUGCCUGGAAUGUCCCGCCGGCCAACAUACACGCGCGCACACCGUAUGCAGGCAACACACACCCACGUGCGGACGCGCCCACACGCGCCGCCUCAGUCGCUGGCCUUACAGCUUGGAGCGCGUCGCUGCCCAGAUUCUGGGGUCCUCAGGGUGUCCUCAGGGGCUGCACCAUGGGCUGUCUGGCUGCCAGCUGUUCGCACCAGGCUUCUGUGAAGAAUGCAGAAUGGAGCGCCCGGCGGGAAAGCGGGAGGCCAGGAAAGGCGGCACUGCCACCGGCACGCGGGCAGCCACGCGGGCAGACGCACUAAGGAAACGCAGCGACAUCUAAUCCUCCCGAGAAGCAUGAGCCCCGAGAGAAAGGACUCGGGAUGCACGUUUGCUUUAUCCUGAGGAACGGAAAUACUCGUUCUGUCCAAAAUAAGCGCUUUUGGAAAUCUUGAUUUAGAAAGCAACAGCCAACACGUUGAUUAAACAGAAUGCAGGCUGAGAGCUCGCCCCGGCUGGGCCGGGACCCCUGCCUCCACCCCGGCUCCCGCCGCAUCUUCCCAGUCUCUGGCGCUGCCAGGCCGUUGGCCCCCCGGCGGUGUCCCUCCCUCACUGGCCGCGGCCACCACACCACGCCAGGCUCAGGGCUGUUUUUGUCCGGUGGACAGAUGAGGGCCCAGCUGGGUGAACAGAGCAAGGGUCUGCCUGCGACUGAGGUCAGGGUGCCCCUCGUGAAGGGCAGGAACCCCGCUCCGGGGAAGGCUCUGAGGACCCGCCUUGCAGGGGCUGUGAAGGGCCACCCAGGCUGAGCUGAGGGGGCCUGGCAGGCAGGGAGGUGAGGAUCCCCUCUCAGAGCCCAGAGGCUCCAACACCCCGACACCGGGGUGCCCAGGGGGACCCCGACAGUGCGAAGGCUGAACCUAGAGCAGAGGUGGCAGCUGGCAGACCUCGGGGCUGUUUCCAAUCAGCCGGUAGCUGGUCUCUGGCUGACGCCCCGCCGCUCAGCCUCCCAGCUACUCCGUUGGCGUUUUGGAAUUAGGAUCCUUACGGUCUGAAAGGGACCUGGCGCUGGGUUGCUGGUGGGGGGAGAGGUGCUCCUGGCUGCCACACGAAGGCCCCUGGGGCACAGAUGCCCAGAGCUUCUGAGUAAGGCCCGCGGCAGCUACUGGAAAACUUGCACGAACCCUUUCUGGGGAGUCCAGAGGGCUGUUAUGGGAAGGGUCGGGGAAGGCCUGGGAGGCCCGAGACCGCCCGAGCCAGGGUGCUGAAGGGCGGCCGUGGGACCCGAUCAGGGACGGCGGGCAGGGGUGCAGCGAGGGCCGUGGGCUGCUCCUCCUGGGCUUGUCUCUGGAGCCCGGGAGUGGGUCAAAGCCUGCAGUGUGGCGAGCGUCCUCAGCUGACCGCAGGCCGGGGGGGGGGGGCUCUUAUUGUCACGUGGCCAAGACAAGCUGCGGCCGAGGAGAGCCGGGCCGGGCCGUCCAGGGCACUCUGCGUGCGGGUGGCGAAUGUGGGGCCUGGCGUGGGCCGUCCUCCCCCGGGCUCCUCCUUCCUGGAGCCCGGCCCCCCACGCCCGCCACGAGACCGUCUCCACGAAGCAGAGGCCUCCGCAUCACGUGGCCGCACUCGAGAGCAACAGAACGUAAAACCUCUCCUCUUAACAACCGAAGCGCCCAUGAAGAAGUCACGGUGGAAAUGACAGAGAUCACAAGCAGGCAGAGAGGCAGGCAGAGAGAGAGGAAGAAGCAGGCUCCCUGCUGAGCAGAGAGCCCGAUGCGGGGCUCGAUCCCAGGACCCUGGGGCAUGACCUGAACCGAAGGCAGAGACUUAACCCACCGAGCCACCCAGGCACCUCCAUUCGUGACCUUUGGAAGGGCCCCAGGCCCGGCAGCCAAGCCCCCUGCACCAGGACCACCUGCCCUGCACGCACCCCUGUCCGACCACCAGACACUGGAGCUACUUUCUCCGCAACCGGCUCCGCCAGAGGGGGUGAGGGCUCGGCGUCAGGUCAGGAACUCCACGCUGGGUCUGAAGACCUCGCUACUGCUUCUGGCUCCCUGAGAGCCCCACUCUGGCCCUGGUCUCAUGGGCAGGUGCCUCUGGGCACAGGAGAGUGGCCGUGCCCGCGGCCCCGCAGCGCCCCUCCCCCAGACCCACCAGCAACACACCCUGCGUGGGGGGGACUGUCAGUGAGGCCCCACUGGGCUGCGUGUGAGCACACGUGUACGCGUGUACAACCCUGCUUCCGUUGCCCGAUCCUUCUCUGCCACAUCAGUCCUCUGGGGGGAGGGCUCUCGGACGCGGGGGGCUGUGGAGGGAGCCCCUUGAGUGAAGAAAUGAUGGUCCGCCGCCCAGAUCCGGUAGUGUCUCCCGCUCAGGAGCGCCCUCCAGAAGCCUUCACCGCCGGCCCGCACAGCCUGGCGCAGAGCUCGUGUCCUUCCUGCCGGGACCCGUCCGUAGCCUCGGGACCUCGGCGGUAGGUCAGUGUCACUGGCCAGCUGAGCUCGGGGCUUCCCAGCAGGCCCGAGGCACCCAGCUCUCUUGGAGGUAGACGGAACCUCUCUUCUUGGCCUCUGGUGCCUCCAUGCGCUUUCAAGGAAAGUAUCUGGGCUGUGCCCACCUCUACACUGCUGCCUCCACAACCACUCCCCUUCCAGGGAGCCCUCGGGGAUAUCUGCAUGCCAGUGUGUCACCUUCCAGACCUGGAAGGAAGGAAUCCUUGCGAUGGGCAUCGACGUGUCCUCCUGGAGCGCACUGCUGCAAGUCCAUGGUCACUCCCACAGUGCCGUGUCUCCGGGAGGGGCCCACAGGCUCUUAAACCCUUAAACCACAGCCAAGGGGCUGUGGCCAGAGAAGGCACCUGCUUCUACCCUGUGUGGCCCCAAGGACGCUGCUGGAGGGGCAGGGCUACCUGCUGUUCGCCAGCACCUGGUGGGGGACACCGCCAGGCAGACGUCCGGCAUCAGAACACAGUCCAGGAGAUAAGGCCUGUCACGUGCUCCUGCUCCCAUAACCCAACCCGCCUGUGCAUGUGGCCUUCUCCAGGUCCAGCGGGGGCCGGGUCAGGCUCAGUCGUGGGUUUUGCUGCCGCAGUGCACGUGGCUUCUGUGUUGCGGAGUCCAUGGGACUUCUCUUCUGCACCCCAGCGAGGGUGGGGCCAGGAGCCUGCCCUCCGAGGACCUGUAUCUGGAUCAGGCAUCUGACCAUCACCCCACGAGGUCCCUGGUCGCUUCCCGUCAGUGAUCUUUGUUCCUGCGGCUCCUCCCUCCGCUGGCCGCCCCUGCAGGGCGCCAGCAGGGGGGUCCGUCCCGGUGGCCCACCCGGCCUUGAUGGUGCCGCACUAGGGCCUUUGUCCUGUCCCACACAUGUCUGAUUUCUCAGUAAUUGUCUGGAGAGGGGCGCCUGCGUGGCUCCAUCGUUAAGUGUCUGACUUCGGCUCAGGUCACCAUCCCGGAGUCCCGGGAUCGAACCCCGCAUUGGGCUCCCUACUCAGUGGGGAGCCUGCUUCUCCCUCUGCCACUCCUCCUGCUGUGGUCCCUCUCUCGAUCUCUAUCAAAUAAAUAAAAUGACCGCCUGGAGAUUCCCA